rnacentral:rRNA from 1 species
AUUGAACGCUGGCGGCAUGCCUUACACAUGCAAGUCGAACGGCAGCACGGGAGCAAUCCUGGUGGCGAGUGGCGAACGGGUGAGUAAAGUAUCGGAACGUGCCCAGUCGUGGGGAUAACGUAGUGAAAAUUACGCUAAUACCGCAUACGAUCUAUGGAUGAAAGCGGGGGAUCGCAAGACCUCGCGUGAUUGGAGCGGCCGAUAUCAGAUUAGGUAGUUGGUGGGGUAAAGGCCCACCAAGCCAACGAUCUGUAGCUGGUCUGAGAGGACGACCAGCCACACUGGAACUGAGACACGGUCCAGACUCCUACGGGAGGCAGCAGUGGGGAAUUUUGGACAAUGGGCGAAAGCCUGAUCCAGCCAUUCCGCGUGCAGGAUGAAGGCCCUCGGGUUGUAAACUGCUUUUGUACAGAACGAAAAGGUUUCUACUAAUACUAGGAGCUCAUGACGGUACUGUAAGAAUAAGCACCGGCUAACUACGUGCCAGCCGCCGCCGUAA